rnacentral:rRNA from 1 species
UGGGGAAUAUUGGACAAUGGGCGAAAGCCUGAUCCAGCCAUGCCGCGUGUGUGAAGAAGGUCUUCGGAUUGUAAAGCACUUUAAGUUGGGAGGAAGGGCAGUAAGCGAAUACCUUGCUGUUUUGACGUUACCGACAGAAUAAGCACCGGCUAACUCUGUGCCAGCAGCCGCGGUAAUACAGAGGGUGCAAGCGUUAAUCGGAAUUACUGGGCGUAAAGCGCGCGUAGGUGGUUCGUUAAGUUGAAUGUGAAAGCCCCGGGCUCAACCUGGGAACUGCAUCCAAAACUGGCGAGCUAGAGUAGGGCAGAGGGUAGUGGAAUUUCCUGUGUAGCGGUGAAAUGCGUAGAUAUAGGAAGGAACACCAGUGGCGAAGGCGACCACCUGGGCUCAUACUGACGCUGAGGUGCGAAAGCGUGGGGAGCAAACAGG